UACGUAGGGGGCGAGCGUUGUCCGGAUUUAUUGGGCGUAAAGAGCGUGUAGGCGGCCAGGUAGGUCUGCUGUGAAAACUCGAGGCUCAACUUCGAGACGUCGGCGGAAACCAUCUGGCUAGAGUCCGGAAGAGGAGAGUGGAAUUCCUGGUGUAGCGGUGAAAUGCGCAGAUAUCAGGAAGAACACCCGUGGCGAAGGCGGCUCUCUGGGACGGUACUGACGCUGAGACGCGAAAGCGUGGGGAGCGAACAGG
rnacentral:rRNA from 1 species